rnacentral:rRNA from 1 species
GCGGAUGAGGGGUGCUUGCAUCCCGAUUCAGCGGCGGACGGGUGAGUAAAGCCUAGGAAUCUGCCCGAUAGUGGGGGACAACGUUUCGAAAGGAACGCUAAUACCGCAUACGUCCUACGGGAGAAAGUGGGGGCUCUUCGGACCUCACGCUAUCGGAUGAGCCUAGGUCGGAUUAGCUAGUUGGUGGGGUAAAGGCUCACCAAGGCGACGAUCCGUAACUGGUCUGAGAGGAUGAUCAGUCACACUGGAACUGAGACACGGUCCAGACUCCUACGGGAGGCAGCAGUGGGGAAUAUUGGACAAUGGGCGAAAGCCUGAUCCAGCCAUGCCGCGUGUGUGAAGAAGGUCUUCGGAUUGUAAAGCACUUUAAGUUGGGAGGAAGGGCUGUAAGCGAAUACCUUGCAGUUUUGACGUUACCGACAGAAUAAGCACCGGCUAACUUCGUGCCAGCAGCCGCGGUAAUACGAAGGGUGCAAGCGUUAAUCGGAAUUACUGGGCGUAAGCGCGCGUAGGUGGUUUGCUAAGUUGGAUGUGACAGCCCAGGAUCAGCUGUGACUGGUUCCAAACUAAC